AUUGAACGCUGGCGGCAUGCUUUACACAUGCAAGUCGAACGGUAACAGGUUAAGCUGACGAGUGGCGAACGGGUGAGUAAUGCAUCGGAACGUGCCCGGUCGUGGGGGAUAACGCAGCGAAAGCUGCGCUAAUACCGCAUACGAUCUGAGGAUGAAAGCGGGGGACCGUAAGGCCUCGCGCGAUCGGAGCGGCCGAUGUCAGAUUAGGGAGUUGGUGGGGUAAAGGCUCACCAGGCCAACGAUCUGUAGCUGGUCUGAGAGGACGAACCGCCACACUGGAGCUGGGACACGGGCCAGCAUCCUACGGGAGGCAGCAGUGGGGAAUUUUGGACAAUGGGCGAAAGCCUGAUCCAGCAAUGCCGCGUGCAGGAAGAAGGCCUUCGGGUUGUAAACUGCUUUUGUACGGAGCGAAAAGGUCUCCUCUAAUACAGGGGGCUCAUGACGGUACCGUAAGAAUAAGCACCGGCUAACUACGUGCCAGCCGCCGCCGUAA
rnacentral:rRNA from 1 species